rnacentral:rRNA from 1 species
GCAUGGCUGUCGUCAGCUCGUGUCGUGAGAUGUUCGGUUAAGUCCGCUAACGAGCGCAACCCUCGCUGUAUGUUACAUGUGUCAUACAGGACCGCCGGUAUCAAGCCGGAGGAAGGUGGGGAUGACGUCAAGUCCGCAUGGCCUUUAUGUCCGGGGCUACACACACGCUACAAUGGUCGGUACAAUGGGUUGCUAAGCCGCGAGGUGGAGCCAAUCCCCCAAAGCCGGCCUCAGUUCAGAUUGCAGGCUGCAACUCGCCUGCAUGAAGCUGGAGUUGCUAGUAAACGCGCGUCAGCUAUAGUGCGUUGAAUACGUUCUCGGGCCUU